UGAAUAGGAGAUUUUUAGAAUUUCAUCACUGAGGAAAUUCCUCUUGAGGAAAUUCCUCACUGAUGACUAACUUACAGUGGAAACAGUUAAGGAUCAGUUGUGCAAUUGUUCACAACAGCAGUAUUACAGAGUGAAGAUUAUGAAAACAGACUGCACAACAAGCAGGCACGCAGAUUACAGAUGAUGAUUUACUCAAGUGAAGAAUUUG
rnacentral:lncRNA from 1 species